rnacentral:rRNA from 1 species
GAUGAACGCUGGCGGCGUGCUUAACACAUGCAAGUCGAACGGAAAGGCCCAAGCUUGCUGGGGUACUCGAGUGGCGAACGGGUGAGUAACACGUGGGUGAUCUGCCCUGCACUUCGGGAUAAGCUUGGGGAACUGGGUCUAAUACCGGAUAGGACCACCUUUUGGUGGGUGUGGGGGAAAGUUUUUCGGGGUGGGAUGAGCUCGCGGCCUAUCAGCUUGUUGGUGGGGUAAUGGCCUACCAAGGCGUCGACGGGUAGCCGGCCUGCGAGGGUGUACGGCCACAUUGGGACUGAGCUACGGCCCAGACUCCUACGGGAGGCAGCAGUGGGGAAUAUUGCCCAAUGGGCGCAAGCCUGAUGCAGCGCCGCCGCGUGGGGGGUGACGGGCUUCGGGUUGUACACUCCUUUCGCUAGGGACGAAGCGUUUUUGUGACGGUACCUUGAGAAGAAGCACCGGCUAACUACGUG